CUAUACAUGCAGUCGAGCGAAUGGAUUGGAGAGCUUGCUCUNANGAAGUUAGCGGCGGACGGGUGAGUAACACGUGGGUAACCUGCCCAUAAGACUGGGAUAACUCCGGGAAACCGGGGCUAAUACCGGAUAAUAUUUUGAACUGCAUGGUUCGAAAUUGAAAGGCGGCUUCGGCUGUCACUUAUGGAUGGACCCGCGUCGCAUUAGCUAGUUGGUGAGGUAACGGCUCACCAAGGCAACGAUGCGUAGCCGACCUGAGAGGGUGAUCGGCCACACUGGGACUGAGACACGGCCCAGACUCCUACGGGAGGCAGCAGUAGGGAAUCUUCCGCAAUGGACGAAAGUCUGACGGAGCAACGCCGCGUGAGUGAUGAAGGCUUUCGGGUCGUAAAACUCUGUUGUUAGGGAAGAACAAGUGCUAGUUGAAUAAGCUGGCACCUUGACGGUACCUAACCAGAAAGCCACGGCUAACUACGUGCCAGCAGCCGCGGUAAUACGUAGGUGGCAAGCGUUAUCCGGAAUUAUUGGGCGUAAAGCGCGCGCAGGUGGUUUCUUAAGUCUGAUGUGAAAGCCCACGGCUCAACCGUGGAGGGUCAUUGGAAACUGGGAGACUUGAGUGCAGAAGAGGAAAGUGGAAUUCCAUGUGUAGCGGUGAAAUGCGUAGAGAUAUGGAGGAACACCAGUGGCGAAGGCGACUUUCUGGUCUGUAACUGACACUGAGGCGCGAAAGCGUGGGGAGCAAACA
rnacentral:rRNA from 2 species